rnacentral:sRNA from 1 species
GAGACUUUACGAAGCAGAAAACAAAAAUUGGUUGCACUUCUCAUGAAGAUCAAGGCCUAACAAUUUUCACCCAACAAUGGACAGACAUACAAAAUAGGGACAUGGGGAGGAAAUCCACCAUGCACAGAUGGGGGAGGGGUGGUAUAAAAAUAACUUUUGUGUCAUUGACAUCUCUCACAACUCUUUACCUCUGCAGAAGGAGAUCGAGUUUGUUGCCAGAGCCAAUGAUCAGGUCUUGGGCUUCUUUAUGCUUGUGAUUUGUUGUUUCCUGGCUGCCAAUUUUCAGAAUAAUGUCCCCUUGUUGAAGUCCGCACUUAGCUGCAAGACUUCCUUGAUUUACCUAACAAAUAUAACAAGAUAUAUGUAAAGCAAAUAAAUGGCAUAAUACUCUC